GCAAUAAACAAAUCUGCAGAACAUGCUUUACCUUGAUGCCUUUGGUUCUAGCAUUCCUAUUAGGUGCCCGUUUGAUCAUGACGAACCUUUCAAAUCUAUAGCUCACCUCCUUUGUGAAUAUAUAUGCCUGGAGCUGGCGACUGAGACAAUAUAGUAUUUAUUGUGUCAUAAAGAGAGAGCUAUAUCUAGGAAGGGCGGAGGGAGAAGAUGGGUAAAAGAUGAGAUUUUUUUCCUCUUUUCUACUUGCUAAUUACAGUGGGCAGGCAUUUGGGAUCUGCGAUGUAAAGCAGAGUGGAUCCAAUAACUAGAAGGAGGAGUAGAGAGAAAUGGGUAGGAAACUCGGUUCCACAAGCGCGAUUUGCCUUGAGGAGUAAGUACUGACGUGUGAAAGACGAAGCAGAAGUCGGUUGUGAAUCCCAGUUGGGAGUUAAAUGCGAAAAUGACGCGUUGUAGGGUUGCCAGAGGAGCAGAACAGCUUUUAACCGUCCAACCAUCCUAAUAUUAUUUCCGGCCUUCGGGGGGGCAACGUUGGA
rnacentral:misc_RNA from 1 species